rnacentral:miRNA from 12 species
CAUCUGCGAGUACUGCAUCUUCAGCCUGCAGUGUUAUUGAAGCUUCUGUCUAAGAUUUGGCUGAAGCUGCAAGCUAAGUCUUGGU